rnacentral:rRNA from 1 species
GACGAACGCUGGCGGCGUGCUUAACACAUGCAAGUCGAACGGAAAGGCCCCCUUGUGGGGUACUCGAGUGGCGAACGGGUGAGUAACACGUGAGUAACCUACCCUUGACUUUGGGAUAACUUCAGGAAACUGGGGCUAAUACCGGAUAGGAGCUCCUGCUGCAUGGUGGGGGUUGGAAAGUUUCGGCGGUUGGGGAUGGACUCGCGGCUUAUCAGCUUGUUGGUGGGGUAGGGGCUCACCAAGGCUUUGACGGGUAGCCGGCCUGAGAGGGUGACCGGCCACAUUGGGACUGAGAUACGGCCCAGACUCCUACGGGAGGCAGCAGUGGGGAAUAUUGCACAAUGGGCGGAAGCCUGAUGCAGCAACGCCGCGUGCGGGAUGACGGCCUUCGGGUUGUAAACCGCUUUCGCCUGUGACGAAGCGUGAGUGACGGUAAUGGGUAAAGAAGCACCGGCUAACUACGUG